CCCUUAGAUGUUCUGGGCCGCACACGCGCUACACUGAAGGAGGCAGCGUGUACUCCUGGAUCGAAAGAUUUGGGUAACCCGCGAAUCUCCUUCGUGCUAGGGAUUGAGGUUUGCAAUUAUCCUUCAUGAACGAGGAAUUCCCAGUAAGUGCAAGUCAUAAGCUUGCGCUGACUACGUCCCUGCCCUUUGUACACACCGCCCGUCGCUACUACCGAUUGAAUGAUUUAGUGAGGACUUCGGACUGGGACCGAUGCGGCUUUCGGGCUGCGUCGGUAUUCUGGAAAGAUGUCCAAACUGUAUCAUUUAAAGGAAGUAAAAGUCGUAACA
rnacentral:rRNA from 1 species